rnacentral:misc_RNA from 1 species
GAUGAAGAACGCAGCGAAAUGCGAUAAGUAGUGUGAAUUGCAGAAUUCCGUGAAUCAUCGAAUCUUUGAACGCACAUUGCGCCUUCUGGUAUUCCGGAAGGCAUGCCUGUUCGAGAGUCAUUAACAACCGUUUCGAUCCCUUUCUUUCAGAAAUUACAAAGAGGAAAAGGGUUUGGUUAUGGUGGAGGAGGGAAAGGGAGCGUUUAGCCUGUAAAAAAAGAGGCUGUGUUCCGCCUCCCCCCCAAAAUUGUACAGGCGGUCGUGUGCGCCCACGCAUCGAGGUGUUGUAAAAGCUGCCACGGCACUUUUCACCUGUGCAGUGCGAGAUUGGCAGCCGGUUUAAAAACCCCUCCAAACAAUCAAAGGUUGACCUCGGAUCAGGUAGGGAUACCCGCUGAACUUAAGCAUAUCAAUAAGCGGAGGA